rnacentral:tRNA from 4 species
GGAGAGGUGCCCGAGUGGCUGAAGGGGCGCGCCUGGAAAGCGCGUGUGCCGGUUUCCGGUACCGAGGGUUCGAAUCCCUCUCUCUCCG